rnacentral:tRNA from 106 species
UUUAUAGUAAGAGGAAAAUCCGUCGACUUUAUAAAUCGUGAGGGUUCAA